GACGAACGCUGGCGGCGUGCUUAACACAUGCAAGUCGAACGGAAAGGCCCUGCUUUGGUGGGGUGCUCGAGGGGCGAAGGGGUGAGUAACACGUGGGUAACCUGCCCUUGACUUUGGGAUAACUUCAGGAAACUAGGGCUAAUACGGGAUAGGAGCUCCUGCUGCAGGGUGGGGGUGGGAAAGUUUCGGCGGUUGGGGAUGGACUCGCGGCUUAUCAGCUUGUUGGUGGGGUAGUGGCUUACCAAGGCUUUGACGGGUAGCCGGCCUGAGAGGGUGACCGGCCACAUUGGGACUGAGAUACGGCCCAGACUCCUACGGGAGGCAGCAGUGGGGAAUAUUGCACAAUGGGCGGAAGCCUGAUGCAGCAACGCCGCGUGCGGGAUGACGGCCUUCGGGUUGUAAACCGCUUUCGCCUGUGACGAAGCGUGAGUGACGGUAAUGGGUAAAGAAGCACCGGCUAACUACGUG
rnacentral:rRNA from 1 species